CUGCCGUCGUCCCGCUUUGCAGUCCCCACCCCUCCGCCCUUUGUGCCGCCGCCACCCGGCGUCUCCAGCUCGACGGGACCCAGGGCGCGCGGGAGCGAGAGGCCCCGCUGUGCGCACGGCCGGUAGCGGAUGGCGGCCGCGCGAGGUGGGCGAAGGGGCGCUGCAGCCCAAGCCCGCGACGUGGGAAGCCCGGACCUCCUCCGCCGCAUUGUCCCGGGCUGCGAGCCCAGGCCCUGAGCUGCCGCAGCGCCCGCCCACCGCCACCCGCGGGGCCAUGCGGAGAGCGGCGGGGAUGGAGGACUACUCCGCAGAGGAGGAGGAGGCCUGGUACGAUCAUCAGGACCUGGAGCAGGACUUGCACUUGGCGGCGGAGCUGGGGAAGACUCUGCUGGAGAGGAACAAGGAGCUGGAGGAGUCCCUGCAACAAAUGUACUCCACCAACGAGGAGCAAGUGCAGGAGAUUGAGUACUUGACCAAGCAGCUGGACACGCUGCGGCUCGUGAAUGAGCAGCAUGCCAAAGUGUACGAGCAGCUGGACCUGACAGCCCGAGACCUGGAGCUGACCAACCAGAGGCUGGUGCUGGAGAGUAAGGCUGCCCAGCAGAAGAUCCACGGGUUGACAGAGACCAUUGAGCGCCUGCAGUCCCAGGUCGAGGAACUGCAAGCCCAGGUGGAGCAGCUGCGAGGCCUGGAGCAACUUCGGGUUCGCCGGGAAAAGAGGGAGCGCAGGAGAACCAUCCAUACCUUCCCCUGCCUGAAGGAGCUGUGCACAAGCCCCCGCAGGUGUGAGGAUGCCUUCCGCCUGCACAGUUCCUCUCUGGAGCUGGGCCCUCGGCCCCUGGAGCAGGAGAACGAACGGCUGCAGACCUUGGUGGGGGUGCUGCGUUCCCAGGUGAGCCAGGAGCGACAGCGCAAGGAGCGGGCAGAGCGCGAGUAUACGGUGGUGCUCCAGGAGUACACGGAGCUGGAGCGACAGCUGUGUGAGAUGGAGGGCUGCCGCCUGCGCGUGCAGGAGCUGGAGGCCGAGCUGCUGGAGCUGCAGCAGAUGAAGCAGGCCAAGACCUACCUGCUGGCCCGGGAUGAGCACCUGGCUGAGGCUUUGCUGGCGCCCCUCACUCAGGCCCCUGAAGCUGAUGACCCCCAGCCAGGCAUCGGGGAUGAUUCCAACACCCAGGAUGGUGUCGCCUCGCCUGCAGCCUCCCCCAGCCACGCAGUACGCAAAAGCUGCAGUGACACAGCACUCAAUGCCAUCGUGGCCAAAGACCCAGCCAGCCGCCAUGCUGGCAACCUCACGCUGCAUGCCAAUAGUGUGCGCAGGCGCGGUAUGUCUAUCCUGAGGGAGGUAGAUGAGCAGUACCACGCGCUGUUGGAGAAAUACGAGGAGCUGCUGAGCAAAUGCCGGCAGCAUGGUGCCGGGGUGAGGCACGCGGGGGUGCAGACCUCGCGGCCCAUCUCCCGGGACAGCUCAUGGAGGGACCUACUGGGGAGCGAGGAGGGCUUGGGAGAGGGCAAGGUGGGUGAGAAAAGCCUAAGCCAGCACGUGGAGGCCGUGGAUAAGCGACUGGAGCAGAGUCAGCCCGAGUACAAGGCGCUCUUCAAAGAGAUCUUUGCCAGGAUUCAGAAGACCAAGGCAGACAUCAAUGCCACCAAAGUAAAGACGCCCAGCAGCAAGUGACCCCUCUCUAGGCCUGCAGCCUCCCCCUGCCUCCCUGCCAAGGGGGUCCCUCGGACCUGGGUGGCAGCCUCUUGACGAGCCAGCCCUGGGACAGUUCACAUCUGCAGCCUCCAGAAUGUCCUGUGCGAGUGUCACCAGUUCGGGUCCCGGCGUCCGCCCCAUCCUUCACCAGGGACUGUAAGAUCUUUACU